rnacentral:rRNA from 1 species
GUCCCCCGGAGGCUGACAGCCGGUGGAAACGCCGGGUGAUCGGCCGUGCGGCCCUUGGGGGGCAUCCCCUUUGGGCGAAAGGCCUACGGGCGCCGGGGAGGGGCAUGCGUCCCAUUAGAUAGUCGGCGGGGUGACGGCCCACCGAGUCAACGAUGGGUAGGGGGUCUGAGAGGAGGCCCCCCACACUGGCACUGAGACACGGGCCAGACUCCUGCGGGAGGCAGCAGUAAGGGAUAUUGGUCAAUGGGGGGAACCCUGAACCAGCCCAUGCCGCGUGAGGGAAGUAGGCCCUACGGGUCGUGAACCUCUUUUAUUCGGGGACAAGGGCGCGGUCGCGAACCGUGUUAGAGGGUACCGAAGGAAUAAGCGUCGGCUAACUCCGUGCCAGCCGCCGC